UACGAGGGGGGCAAGCGUUGUUCGGAAUUAUUGGGCGUAAAGGGCGCGUAGGCGGUGCGGUAAGUCGGACGUGAAAUCCCUCGGCUUAACCGGGGAACUGCGUCCGAUACUGGUUGGCUUGAGUUUGGGAGAGGGAUGCGGAAUUCCAGGUGUAGCGGUGAAAUGCGUAGAUAUCAGGAGGAACACCGAUUGCGAAGGCAGCUCGCUGGAACGUUACUGACGCUGAGACGCGAAAGCGUGGGGAGCAAACAGG
rnacentral:rRNA from 1 species